rnacentral:rRNA from 1 species
CGGGUGAGUAACGCGUGAGGAACCUGCCUCAAAGAGGGGGACAACAGUUGGAAACGACUGCUAAUACCGCAUAAGCCCACGGCUCGGCAUCGAGCAGAGGGAAAAGGAGCAAUCCGCUUUGAGAUGGCCUCGCGUCCGAUUAGCUAGUUGGUGAGGUAAUGGCCCACCAAGGCAACGAUCGGUAGCCGGAUUGAGAGGUUGAACGGCCACAUUGGGACUGAGACACGGCCCAG